GGAUCGAUGAUGACUCCCUCAAUCUGCAUUCCUUGGAAAAGCUGAACAAAAUGAGUGAGCACUCCCUACCAUCAUUCUCAUCGAAACUGAGGUCC
ensembl:snoRNA SNORD116 Small nucleolar RNA SNORD116